CAGGGAGACAACAAAAUGUUAAAUAUUAAUUUUGUCACCUUAGGUCGAUCGGUAUCUCACAUUCUUAAUUUAUUAAGGAUUUUAUUUCCUAAGUUUUUUCUAGGUCACACCCAUUUUUUUUCCUGGGCCAUUAGCUCAGGUGGUUAGAGCGCACCCCUGAUAAGGGUGAGGUCCCUGGUUCAAGUCCAGGAUGGCCCAUAUCUCUAUGUUGGGGGUAUAGCUCAGUUGGUAGAGCGCCUGCUUUGCAAGCAGGAUGUCAGCGGUUCGAGUCCGCUUACCUCCACUGAUUACCACCUCUCCCAUAAUCUUUAGAAAGGAAAAAUUUUUGAGUUGUGAUCACAUUCUGAACGAAUCUAGCUUCCUAAUGAAAUCAUUAAGAUGCUGGACUCAUUGAAUUAAUUUCAUUGUUUUCAGAGAACCUUGACAACUGCAUAGAUUAUUUUUAAAGACAAUAAGCAUCUUUAAUGAUGCAGAUUUAUUAUUUGUGCGUAAGCAUUAAAUAACAAUUCUAUUAAGCUGAUGCUUCAAUUAUUGAAGUUAUU
rnacentral:tRNA from 1 species